rnacentral:rRNA from 1 species
UACGUAGGGUGCGAGCGUGUCCGGAAUUAUUGGGCGUAAAGAGCUUGUAGGUGGUUUGUCGCGUCUGCUGUGAAAAUCCGAGGCUCAACCUCGGACUUGCAGUGGGUACGGGCAGACUAGAGUGUGGUAGGGGAGACUGGAAUUCCUGGUGUAGCGGUGGAAUGCGCAGAUAUCAGGAGGAACACCGAUGGCGAAGGCAGGUCUCUGGAACGGUACUGACGCU